UGCCGAGAUUUUCCUCGGUAGUUAACUGCAGCCGAUUUCAUUUUUCCUCGGCAGGUAACUACCGAGGAGCAU
rnacentral:pre_miRNA from 1 species